AUGAUUAUCCUCAGUCUUUCUAUGCUUAUACUCAAAACUUUCUCUGAUUUGUUACUACUAUUUUUAUACAUUGUUUGGAGCAUAUUUUAUACAUUUUGUUGUUGGUUGGGUGCUAAAAAUGUUUUGCAUGCAGAUCCGAAGGAAAGAUAAUAGUUUUUAUAUUUGCAUGUAUAGAUUUAGAUGCAUGGUGAAACUAUGAUUAUGUUUAGUUGGAUUUGUUUCCACCCUAAUUGAUUUCAAAUUCUAAAUUUUGAAGAAGUCUGUAUACAUUGUGGAGCACUCUUCUAUGGCUGUUAGAACAAUUCGAUAUAUAUUGUUUGAAUAAUUAUCUCUAUGUACCUACGUAGCCUUGGAUUUUUGGUUUAGAUGCACUAUUAGAAUAAUUAUCUGUGCACAAUUCUUCUAUGCUUAGUUGUAUGGGUUUUAUCUGAUUUUUUUGGUUGCAGCCUUGGAUGAAUAGGUGGUUUGCAUGAAAUGAAAAGCUAUAAACGCAAAACCAUUCUGGUGGCAAGUCCACUGCAUGAUGCAGUCCACGGCCGCGGUGCUAGUAUAAAGCAGCGGUGGCGGUUGGUGGCGUGUAGUUCACGGCGGCGGCGCUAGUGCGAAUCAGUGGUGGUGGUCGGUUCGAUAGAAGAUAACAAAGGAGCAGCACGACGCGGCCAAGGAUUUUUUGCAUUUUAUUUGUUGAAUUUAGUGUUCUUAUGCUUGUGUGCAUAAGUUUCUAUACACACAAUGGAGCACUUCUAUGCAUUUUUGUAUUCUUAAUGCUUGUGAGCAUAAGUUUCUAUACAUUGUUGGAGCGGGUCUA